rnacentral:rRNA from 1 species
GACGAACGCUGGCGGCGUGCUUAACACAUGCAAGUCGAACGGAAAGGCCCUGCUUUUGUGGGGUGCUCGAGUGGCGAACGGGUGAGUAACACGUGAGUAACCUGCCCUUGACUUUGGGAUAACUUCAGGAAACUGGGGCUAAUACCGGAUAGGAGCUCCUGCUGCAUGGUGGGGGUUGGAAAGUUUCGGCGGUGGGGGAUGGACUCGCGGCUUAUCAGCUUGUUGGUGGGGUAGUGGCUUACCAAGGCUUUGACGGGUAGCCGGCCUGAGAGGGUGACCGGCCACAUUGGGACUGAGAUACGGCCCAGACUCCUACGGGAGGCAGCAGUGGGGAAUAUUGCACAAUGGGAGGAAGCCUGAUGCAGCAACGCCGCGUGCGGGAUGACGGCCUUCGGGUUGUAAACCGCUUUCGCCUGUGACGAAGCGUGAGUGACGGUAAUGGGUAAAGAAGCACCGGCUAACUACGUG